rnacentral:rRNA from 1 species
AUUGAACGCUGGCGGCAUGCCUUACACAUGCAAGUCGAACGGUAACAGGUCUUCGGAUGCUGACGAGUGGCGAACGGGUGAGUAAUACAUCGGAACGUGCCUAGUAGUGGGGGAUAACUACUCGAAAGAGUGGCUAAUACCGCAUGAGAUCUACGGAUGAAAGCAGGGGAUCGCAAGACCUUGUGCUACUAGAGCGGCCGAUGGCAGAUUAGGUAGUUGGUGGGAUAAAAGCUUACCAAGCCGACGAUCUGUAGCUGGUCUGAGAGGACGAUCAGCCACACUGGACCUGAGAAACGGCCCAGACUCCUACGGGAGGCAGCAGUGGGGAAUUUUGGCAAAUGGGCGCAAGCCUGAUCCAGCAAUGCCGCGUGCAGGAUGAAGGCCUUCGGGUUGUAAACUGCUUUUGUACGGAACGAAAAGCCCCGGGUUAAUACCCUGGGGUCAUGACGGUACCGUAAGAAUAAGCACCGGCUAACUACGUGCCAGCCGCCGCGGUAA